CCAAAAGCGGAGGAAAAGAAACCAACCGGGAUUGCCUUAGUAACGGCGAGUGAAGCGGCAAAAGCUCAAAUUUGAAAUCUGGUACCUUCGGUGCCCGAGUUGUAAUUUGGAGAGGGCAACUUUGGGGCCGUUCCUUGUCUAUGUUCCUUGGAACAGGACGUCAUAGAGGGUGAGAAUCCCGUGUGGCGAGGAGUGCGGUUCUUUGUAAAGUGCCUUCGAAGAGUCGAGUUGUUUGGGAAUGCAGCUCUAAGUGGGUGGUAAAUUCCAUCUAAAGCUAAAUAUUGGCGAGAGACCGAUAGCGAACAAGUACAGUGAUGGAAAGAUGAAAAGAACUUUGAAAAGAGAGUGAAAAAGUACGUGAAAUUGUUGAAAGGGAAGGGCAUUUGAUCAGACAUGGUGUUUUGUGCCCUCUGCUCCUUGUGGGUAGGGGAAUCUCGCAUUUCACUGGGCCAGCAUCAGUUUUGGUGGCAGGAUAAAUCCAUAGGAAUGUAGCUUGCCUCGGUAAGUAUUAUAGCCUGUGGGAAUACUGCCAGCUGGGACUGAGGACUGCGACGUAAGUCAAGGAUGCUGCA
rnacentral:rRNA from 1 species